CUCUAACAGACCAGAACCAGCAGCUCACCGGCUAACAGCACUGAUACACACACACACACACACACACACACACACACACACACACACACUAUACACACAGUACAUCUGUGUUAUACAGUAUUAUAUAUUGGUUGUUGUUAUAAACCCGUCUAUAUUAUUAUAGCUGUUGUAAUAAUCUGUGUAUUAAUCAUAUUAUUAUUCUGCUGUUUAUAAACUCCUGAUCUACCUCAGCAUACUAAACCUCAAUAAUAAUCAAAAAUACUGGAUAUUGUUUAUUAUUUCAGUACAUUUUAAUAUCAUUUACAUGGAACUUUUACUAUAAAAACAAUAAAAAACUGCACAUAAUGGCUAGCAGCCAAUUUGUGAUGCUAGCAGCUAAGUGGCGAAGCUAACAGUGAAUUUUUAAUUGAAACAGUUAACUGACCAUCCCAUUAGCUUAUUGGCGAUGCUAAUAGCUAAAAUAGCACUGCUGAGGUACAUUAUGAUUAGAAUAGCACUGCUGUGGUAAAAUUAUAAUUAGAAUAGCUCUGCUGAGGUGAAUUAUGAGUAGAAUAGCUUGGCUAAGGUAAAUUAUUAAUAGAAUAGCUCUGCUGAGGUAAAUUGAAAUUAGAAUAGCACUACUUUGGUAAGUGUAUGACUAGAAUAGCACUGCUGAGGUACAAUUAUGAUUAGAAUAGCACUGCUGAGGUAAAAUUGUGAUUAGAAUAGCUCUGCUGAGGUAAAUUAUAAUUAGAAUAGCACUACUGAUGUAAAAUUAUGAUUAGAAAAGCUCUGCUGAGGUAAAAUUAUGAUUAGAAUAGCACUGCUAAGGUAAAAUUAUAAUUAAAAUAGUACUAGUGAGGUAAACGUAGGACUAAAAUAGCACUGCUAAGGUAAAAUUAUGAUUAGAAUAGCACUGCUGAGGUUAAUUUUGGUUAGAAUAGCACUACUGAGGUAAAAUUAUGAUUGGAAUAGUGCUACUGAGGUAAAAGUAUGACUGGAAUAGCUCUAUGGAGGUAAAAUUAUGAUUAGAAUAGCAUGGAGUAACAAAGAUACAGUUCUUACGCUGCUGUUUUGCUGCUGUCUGGACUGGAAGUUCUGCAGGAUGCUGGUGCUUUAAGUGCUUGUGUUUAGCAGUUGUAGUGCAGCUCACUACAGAGAAAUCCGUGCUCCAUCUCAAACCACAAAAUCCCACACUUCAAUAACCGCACUAAUUAGCGCACUUCUUUUAGUGAGCACUGUUUUACAUUCUAUUUAGUGUUGCACUGUUCUGUUUUCAGGGGGAACGGAUAUCGUUGGAACUCAUUCACACUCUUUGACCCAAAUCAGAGUGUUUUUGUUACUGAAUGUGUGUAAAGAUAAAUAUUGGGAGUGCAGAGUAGUGUAGUGUAGUGAAGGUAAUGAGGUUAGUGAGGUUAGUGAG